AUUCAAGACUAUUUCGCGGAGAAUCCUACAUAUCCUCCGCAUCUCUUCUGGAGAAGGUACCGAAUGCGCCGAGCCCUCUUUGUGAAACUUGUUCAAGCAUGCGAGGAAAAUUGCCGGUAUUUUACUCAAAGAAGGAAUGACGCGGGCUUAAAUGGAUUUAGUGCAUAUCAAAAAAUCUCCGCAGCUAUGCGGGUGAUUGCAUAUGGCGUUCCGGCUGACUAUGUUGAUGAGUAUCUUCGCAUUGGUGAAGAUAGCACAAUUGAGACUGUGCGUAGAUUUGCGAAAGUGAUCAUCCGUUUCUUCGGUCCUGAAUAUCUUCGGGCACCAAAUGAAGAUGACACAAAGAAAUUGAUGGCAUCUAAUGAGAGGAGAGAUUGGCCUGGCAUGCUAGGUAGCAUUGAUUGUAUGCAUUGGAAUUGG
rnacentral:rRNA from 1 species